AAAAUGAUGUGUAUAUGAUGAGAGCUCUUAGGAUUUACUCUCUUACCAAUUUUCAUGUACAACAUACAGCAGUGUAAAUUACAUUUAUCACGUUGU